UCUCUGGUCUGUACUGACGCUGAGGAGCGAAAGCGUGGGGAGCGAACAGGAUUAGAUACCCUGGUAGUCCACGCCGUAAACGAUGAGUGCUAAGUGUUAGGGGGUUUCCGCCCCUUAGUGCUGCAGCUAACGCAUUAAGCACUCCGCCUGGGGAGUACGGUCGCAAGACUGAAACUCAAAGGAAUUGACGGGGGCCCGCACAAGCGGUGGAGCAUGUGGUUUAAUUCGAAGCAACGCGAAGAACCUUACCAGGUCUUGACAUCCUCUGACAAUCCUAGAGAUAGGACGUCCCCUUCGGGGGCAGAGUGACAGGGGGUGCAUGGUUGUCGUCAGCUCGUGUCGUGAGAUGUUGGGUUAAGUCCCGCAACGAGCGCAACCCUUGAUCUUAGUUGCCAGCAUUCAGUUGGGCACUCUAAGGUGACUGCCGGUGACAAACCGGAGGAAGGUGGGGAUGACGUCAAAUCAUCAUGCCCCUUAUGACCUGGGCUACACACGUGCUACAAUGGACAGAACAAAGGGCAGCGAAACCGCGAGGUUAAGCCAAUCCCACAAAUCUGUUCUCAGUUCGGAUCGCAGUCUGCAACUCGACUGCGUGAAGCUGGAAUCGCUAGUAAUCGCGGAUCACCAUGCCGCGGUGAAUACGUUCCCGGGCCUUGUACACACCGCCCGUCACACCACGAGAGUUUGUAACACCCGAAGUCGGUGAGGUAACCUUUUAGGAGCCAGCCGCCGAAGGUGGGACAGAUGAUUGGGGUGAA
rnacentral:rRNA from 1 species